CUCCUCCACUCAACGUCUCUAUCCGAUUACACACGCCGGUAAAUCUCAUCUAUAACUUUUGAUCAAUAUGAAAGACUCUUCUCAUAGUUUGAGAAAAGUGAUGAAGAUUUAUAAAUUCUAGGGGAUUCUAAAACUGAGAAGUUAAAAAUAUCUGGAAAUUUGGAAUCACUUUAUGGAGAAAAAACCCAAUAAAGAUAGAAUGAUAAUUGUCAAGUGCAAUUAUUAUGGUCAAUCGUAUUUAUAUGAAGGAAAUGAAUGGAAUGGUCCGACUAGCAUGCUAAUGGAAUGGAUUCUGGAUUACAUGCAAAAGUAGAGGCAAAUUGGAUGCAAAUUCAGUAAUUUGGGAAGGAAGGAAUCCACAAGACACAAACUGCCCAGUUUGAUGGAUUGGCCAGUGUCCGAGCAAUGUUGACAGCUCUUCAAAGUCGCAUUUCAAAGCAAAGUUGACGAUUCUUUGUGCUACCAAUGCCAACAAGCGACACUUUUGAAGGCAAAAGAAGCCAACUACCAUCAUGGGGAGUGGAUAAGAUUUCCACAUCAGAUUGGUUGGAAGAAGUGCAACUAAAACAACAAAAUUUAUCUUUUGAACAACUUUUCAACCACUUUUGAACCACCACUUUUUAGCUAGCUUUAGUUAGUUUUAUUUUCUCUCUCUAAGCUUAGUUUUCUCUCAUCCUUGAAGCAAAUUUCGAACCAUAGGCCGCCAUUGCAACUUUUGCUCACCAUGGGGUGAAGCUUGUAGUUGUAUAGUGUUUUAAUGCUUUGAAUGAUCUAGUUCCUUGUUGUACUUAUUUUCCAACAUCUUAACUCUCUAGUUAAGGUUGUUGGGCUAAUAUUAAAGAGCUUUUGGGUCUUUAAUUCUCUAAGUGUUUAGCAUUUAUGUUUGGUUGUUGAUGUUCUUGCUUGUUUAGUUCAAAAACCUUAUUUUCAAGUUUGCUAUUUUAGGUUUGUGUUAAGCUACUUUCUUGUGGUAUAUUUCCCUGUUUAUUUAAGUUAUCUAAGCAUGUUAGGAGUCAUUUUAGGGGUUGUUCAUGGUUGAAAAACUUUCCAAAAAAGGAGAAGUAAAAGUAUGUGCAAGUAGUCGGUUGUUGUGUGAUUUUCGUCGUCUAGUCGGAUUUCUUUUUGCAUGCCUUUGUAUGAUCUUGUUGAUUUCGUUUUUCUAGCUUUUCUUCACCAUGUUUAAGUGUUCUUGAAGCUUAUUUGAUCUUGUUUAAGUGUUAAAGUUUUCAGCUUUUCAUUUGGUGUUUUCAAGGCAUAUUUAGGUAGCUAACUUGUUGAUUUGGUGUUUCUCUUGCAUAGUUAAGUGUGUAGCAACCAUUUAGUCUUUUCUUUACUCAUAUUUUCGUGCCUUAGUGUAUUUAGGAACCCAAAAAUCUGAUUUCAAAGUGCUAAUCCUUUUACUCUUAGUUUAGUUUAAUUGCCAACUACUUUUGACCUACCAUAGGUUAAUAGCUUGAAGGAGGCAACUAGUACAAUGUCUUUUCACUCUUUGACAUGGAGCCUCCAAAAUCAGCUUUAAACUCUCUCUCCCAUGCUUUUCAUGUCAGCUUAGCCACCCUAGGAAGUCUCCAAAGUAGCUAGUUAGGUAGGCUUUAGGUUUUACUUUUUAAAUGUAUCUUUCCUAGUAAAAAUAGCUUCUCUAGCUUUCAUUUAGGCGUGAACACUUAGAAUUGAUUUAGCAGCUUUUACUUAGUUCUUUUUGCUUCUUUUACUUAGUAAUUUUCGUGACAAAAGUUUGUUUCUUUCCCCUUGUUCCUUUUAUUCCCGAAAGUGUUAUUUUACAAAGUUUUCGCCACUGUUCUGAUUUUGCUGCUAAGUUGCUCAGUUUGCUUACUUGCCCAGUUUACUUACUUGCCCAAUCUACGUGUCAAUUUAUUUGCUUUGUCUCAAGUUCAUUGGUUGCUUAUUUUUACUUUAUUUUCUACUUAGUUCCCACCAUGUUCGUAAGUAUGGUUGAAUUUCUGUAGUUAAAUUUUCUUUCCCUCCUAAAUUAAAGCGUGGCGGCAUCGCCAAACUCUUAAGUGUUGAAAUACAUAACGGAUACGACCGUUUCUCGUGGGAUCGACAUCCGACUUACCACAUACUAAUUAAUAGUAUUUUGGGAAGUGGGAACGUAAAGUAUUGUUGAAUAGGAAGAACACGUGCCUACGACACGCGUGCAAAAUCCCUUCUUUUCAACAUGUUAUGUUGACAGUAAUUGGAAAUUGAAUAACAAAGUAUUUAUCAUUUUGUUAUAUGCCUUAGACCUGAAUUAACUCAAAAGAUUUUUGACUUUGGAAAAUGCGUCUGCUAGUAAUGCAAUGGCGAAUUUCCAUGUUAGAUGUUAUGCACAUAUCUUGAAUCUUAUAGUUCAAAAGUGGUUGAAAGUUGUUAGUGGUAUUUUAGAAAAGACUAGAGGAAGUGAGAAACAUUGCAGCAAGAUCUGCCCCUCCGUUGCCAACUGCGCUACGCCCCUGCGGGCGGAAGUGAGAAACAUGUAUAAGCAAUGUUAAAGGAAGAGCGAGAACGAGAAAGAAGUGAGAAAAAAGUUGAAUUUACUUCUUCACUUUGCUUGGGUGUGCCUGCUAGUUGGAAUUCCACAUAUUUGAUUCUUUAUAGCGGAAUUUAAUAUCGAUAUGUUUUUUAUAUGCUUGGAUUUAAAUCUUUGACUUAUAAGCAUUAUCCGACAA